GCCGUUGGUGGCCAGGAUGUCGAUGAGGUCCGGGUCGUUGGGGACGACGACGGCGGCGCGCCGCCCGUCGAUGGCGAUGAGCUGGAGGGCGCCGCCGUCCUUGCUGAAGCGGACGCGCUCCACCUUCCCGCUCUUCACCGCGUUAAGGAACUCGCUGUAGCGCCACUGGUAGCCCUCUGGCAGGCCGGCGGCGGCCGGCGACGGCGACUUGGGGUUUGGGGCGGUGAGCAGGGACUGGGCGAAGGGGUCGGAGGAGGAAGGCGAGGGCCUUGCAGCUUCCACCACAGAAGCCGGCGGCGAAGCGACGGGCUGCUGCUGGGCAGGGAGAGAAUCGACGGCGCCGGCGGGGGAGGACGCGGCGGAGAAGAGGAUCGCCGCCACGGCAGCUUUCUGGGGAAAGAAGCGGAGAAGGUGAGCGCCACCGCUGGCGGGCUUCUUCUCCUCCGGGUCAGAAGGGAGCAGCAGCAUCGAUCGGACGGGCCUGUGGCACCGCCACCUCCCUCCGCCGCCGGCGAUGGCCGAGGAGGCGGCGCUUUUGGAGUUCACGCGGCGGAGGCGACCGCCGGAGACGGUGGAGGACAGAAUGGAGUAGCUGGUGGACGCCAUGAACGAUACCCCCCCUUCCCCUCUCGAGCUUCUCUCCCUUCAAGCGGUAAUUCGACGGGUCUCAGCAGAUCGAAGGGAG
rnacentral:lncRNA from 1 species